rnacentral:rRNA from 1 species
UACGAAGGGGGCUAGCGUUGCUCGGAAUCACUGGGCGUAAAGCGCACGUAGGCGGAUUCGUAAGUCAGGGGUGAAAUCCUGGAGCUCAACUCCAGAACUGCCUUUGAUACUGGCGAUCUCGAGUCCGGGAGAGGUGAGUGGAACUGCGAGUGUAGAGGUGAAAUUCGUAGAUAUUCGCAAGAACACCAGUGGCGAAGGCGGACUCACUGGCCCGGUACUGACGCUGAGGUGCGAAAGCGUGGGGAGCAAACA